CAGCAGCAGCCACGGUAAAACGGAGGGUGCAAGCGUUAAUCGGAAUUACUGGGCGUAAAGCGCACGCAGGCGGUCUGUUAAGUCAGAUGUGAAAUCCCCGGGCUCAACCCGGGAACUGCAUUUGAAACUGGCAGGCUUGAGUCUUGUAGAGGGGGGUAGAAUUCCAGGUGUAGCGGUGAAAUGCGUAGAGAUCUGGAGGAAUACCGGUGGCGAAGGCGGCCCCCUGGACAAAGACUGACGCUCAGGUGCGAAAGCGUGGGGAGCAAACAGGAUUAGAUACCCGGGUAGUCCCUGUCUCUUAUAU
rnacentral:rRNA from 1 species